rnacentral:lncRNA from 1 species
UCUUGAAUCAUUUUCUGUAUCUGGAAUAUAUGCAAGAGUUUCUAAAAUUUUGAUAUGAGUGUAAUGAUGGUAAUUUCUGUUUUCUGUCUGUCAUCAAAUGUUAGAAAACUUUCAUUGAGACCCUUGAACCGAGUCAUUUUUGACAAGUGAAGGACAAUUGCUGAAGAGUGGGAAUGGUGCUAGAUUGGGGAAUAAAGACAAAGGAGGUAAAUUAUUUGCAGUUUAUUCAGCAUUAUUUGCUUUGGACCACCGCCUGAUUCACAAGUCUCCAUAAUUUGGCUUUUGACCAGUUAAUAAAUUUUUAAUUCCAUUGGUGCUAAAUGUACACGUGAAGCAGGCAGAGCAGGACUGUGGAAAUGAGAAGGUUUUUAGUGAAAGCUUAAACUCAGGUAAUUCUAAAAAGUACAUGUUUUUGCUGAUUUAUCUAAAUCAGGAAAUUUUAUUUCCAUCUGUUACAAGAUAAAACAGAAACAGAACACAAAGAAAAAUAUUCUACUUCUUGUGGCAAUCUUGCCUUCAUUCAGACAAUGAAACCAUUUCCUUUCACCAAUUUCUUCCAAAAGUUUGAAUAAGUUUCAUGGUUGGACAUAGUUAGCUUCUUUUUCUUUUUGGUGCAUUUAGGUCCUAUCAAGUGACAGCCAUAAGUAUGAUUGCAUUAUUGGGAAAUUUUAGGUUUGGAUGGCUCCCCAUGUUAUUGCCAAGAAAGUCCUCAUGUCAGAAGCUGCGGUUCUUUUCAUCAGCCUGAACCCGAACCUGUCGUUAUGGAUAACUCAGGUUUUUGUCAUCAACUAUAUCAUCUUUUUUACUGUUUUGAAACUCUUAAGAUUAAACUUCAGUAAAGUUGUUUCAGUUAUCCAUGUAAUCAGGCUAAGGAUAUUUAGCAGCUUAUUUAGGCAACUGCCAGAAUUCAGUUUGUUUGCUCGAAACUUGUAUGGUGACAAGGAUACUGGCAAGGAUAGUGAGAUAGUUUUUUGUGUGAGUGAAAUUUGAAAGCUUGGGUGUUCUGGGAUUUGCAAUUGCAAUCAUCCUCUGAGUCAGGUGAUUUCUUCUCCUGCUCUGUCUUGAUUUUCUCUCUAAUUGAAAGCAUAAAGUAUUUCAAUCAAAUUCUGUACCAGGAAUACGUAAAAGUUACUAAUAUUUUAUUUCCAUCUGUUUGCAUUGAUAACUCGGCGGCAUAUGUUCUAGUUAAAGAACAAACAGAAACAGAGUUCAGGAAAAAGUUUCUUCGGCCACCAUAUUUGAAAAUGAAACCAUUUCCAGGAAGCAGUUGGCAGCAAAUUCAUAUGGAGUGUAGACAAUGAUGAGCGAAAAGGUGAUACGCAAUUUCUUUUUUUUUUUUUUUAAGUGAAAUUAUUUGUUAGAUUGAAGCUGAUAUUGUAAGAAGGCCAUUGAGCUAACCUAUGUCGCCACUUGCCUAG